rnacentral:rRNA from 1 species
GACGAACGCUGGCGGCGUGCCUAAUACAUGCAAGUCGAACGCAGUGGGGACGGGUGAGGAAAACGUGGGUAACCUCCCAUCAGAGGGGAUAACACUUGGAAACAGGUGCUAAACCGAUACUGAUGGAUGGACCCGCGGUGCAUUAGCUAGUUGGAGGGGUAACGGCUCAGCAAGGUGACGAUGCAUAGCCGGCCGGAGAGGGUGAUCGGCCACACUGGAACUGAGACACGGACCAGACUCCUACGGGAGGCAGCAGUAGGGAAUCUUGGGCAAUGGGCGAAAGUCUGAUCGAGCAACGCCGCGUGUGUGAAGAAGGUUUUCGGGUUGUAAAGCUCUGUUGUUGGGGAAGCGGUAUCUAGACAGGAAGCCACGGCUAACUACGUGCCAGCAGCCGCGGUAAUUC